rnacentral:rRNA from 1 species
GAUGAACGCUGGCGGCGUGCCUAAUACAUGCAAGUCGAGCGAACAGACGAGGAGCUUGCUCCUCUGACGUUAGCGGCGGACGGAUGAGUAACACGUGGAUAACCUACCUAUAAGACUGGGAUAACUUCGGGAAACCGGAGCUAAUACCGGAUAAUAUAUUGAACCGCAUGGUUCAAUAGUGAAAGACGGUUUUGCUGUCACUUAUAGAUGGAUCCGCGCCGCUUUAGCUAGUUGGUAAGGUAACGGCUUACCAAGGCAACGAUGCGUAGCCGACCUGAGAGGGUGAUCGGCCACACUGGAACUGAGACACGGUCCAGACUCCUACGGGAGGCAGCAGUAGGGAAUCUUCCGCAAUGGGCGAAAGCCUGACGGAGCAACGCCGCGUGAGUGAUGAAGGUCUUCGGAUCGUAAAACUCUGUUAUUAGGGAAGAACAAAUGUGUAAGUAACUAUGCACGUCUUGACGGUACCUAAUCAGAAAGCCACGGCUAACUACGUG